CCCUAUGGCCAUGUUACCCUGAACACGCCGGAUCCCCUCUGAUCUCGGAAGCUAAGCAGGGUCUGGACUGGUUUGUAUUUGGAUGGGAGACCACUUAGGAAGACCAGGUGCUGUAGGCA
rnacentral:rRNA from 1 species